rnacentral:rRNA from 1 species
CACACCGCCCGUCACACCAUGGGAGUUGACUGCACCAGAAGCAGGUAGCCUAACCGCAAGGAGGCGAUUACCACGGCAGGGUUCGUGACUGGGUG